AAGUGGUGUACUGGUCAAAGAUAAAAUAAAAGAUCAUCACCACAGCAAAGAAAAGGCAGGUAAAAUUAAAAAUUAUUUCAAGAGUGAAUCAGGUGCAAGGUCACUUUCCCAUUUCUGAGGGAUGCAUGCCUGAUGAACAAUAAUGUCAGUACCUCCUACAGCUCCUGCAGAUCCACAUUCCCCCUCCCCACAGUAUUUAACACCAGUCUUUUCUGCUUGUACUUGACCAAGCAAGAGAUAAGAUUCCCUAACUCAUUUUAGAACAUUAAAACACUGUUAGAGAGAUAAAGUAACCUACAUUAAUUUCCCACCAUUUUGAACACUAUUUCAUUGAUUCUCUGGCACUGAUAUUUUCUAAAUCUUUGAUAAUUUUUGUGUUUCCCUUUGAGCCAGCUGACCCAUGGUAUAAAAUACUGUACAAAACUGGAGUGUAUUGCAGGAUUGGAAAGGCUUAAUGCGACUUGAGCAGUCAGCAAAGAUCCAAAGUGUGGAGGAAGGAAGGUGGGAGGCGCAGGAAAUGCAUAACAUGGCUCAAACUGAAGAAUCUUUCUGAUGACAAGUGAUAUGGCACUCACAUGUUCUUGCCAGCCUACCUUUCUCUUCGACAACCACUGUUGUCCCAUUUCCACGUAGUUUCUUAAGGAAAGGAAAACACUUUAUAAAAACAGAUUGAGUCUGAAGCAUAUUAAACACUCUCUGCCAGAUAAAGAAGAAACAAAAGGAGCAAUUCAGAAUGAUUCAUUAGUCAAUAGUGAAAAUCUCAUCAAGGUUAAAGAAAAAUGACACUGCAAUUUUUGACCCUAUGUAGGAGUCUUGUCCAGCACUGCUUCUAAUGAAUGACAAGUGUACAGCAUUUUAGAGGUGUGUUUUUUCAUUUGGUUUCAACUUCUUCCAUUAAGUACUUGCUGACAAGUAGUUUAUAACACCAAAUUCACCUCCUUCCUUUAAUAGGAGCAGCCACACAGAUCAUUGGGUCUCUUGUCUGGCUUCUAAGAAAAGGCUGACUUGGACAGUAUCAGUAGAAAUCAAACUUUGUUCCUUCCUGCUUUCAAUACAUUUUUCUCUCACUGUCAGCAUGCAAAGUAAGUGACACAUGAGACAUUAUGCAAUAUAUGUACAAAACAUUUUCUUCUAAAGUGAAGCCACUGUGUUGAUAUCAGAUAACUCUUUUUAUAUUCUAAUGGCAUUGAUGCUCAUUACAAAAGUGCUAAUCCUAUAAAAUCUAUUCCCAUGACUGCUGAGACAAUUAUUUUCAUAUGCUGUAUGAAGAAUUAUAAUUCCUUUUUCUAUCCUUUGCAACAUUCAAGUGAAGAACUAAUAAGAGAAAAUGGCAGGAUUUUCUUCUAAAUUUUAUCCUGUUUAUCACUCAGGCACAUUUCACAGCAAGACAUAACUAGUUAGACAAAUUUUUUUCAUAUCUCACCCUAAAAUGGCAUCUGAUUAGUUUUAUCAAAAAAUGCAAAUAAAUUUUUCUAUUUUUUCUAUAGAAGAAGCCACACAUUCAUCACAAGUAAAGGAGUCAGGAACCUCCAUCUUUACAAUGCAACACUUAAAAACUUGUAGAGAACAAUAUGGACAGUAUGGGGUAAUAUAA